UCCUACGGGAGGCAGCAGUGGGGAAUUUUGCGCAAUGGGGGAAACCCUGACCCAGCAACGCCGCGUGAAGGAUGAAAUCCCUCGGGAUGUAAACUUCGCAAGAAUGGGAAGAAUUAGUAGGGGACAAUACCCCCUAUGAUGACGGUACCAUUUGUAAGCUCCGGCUAACUCCGUGCCAGCACCGCGGUAA
rnacentral:rRNA from 1 species